CAACAAGAAAACAUAAUGACAACCUUAUUGAAAAACAGAGCUUUUACAAAUGUAUCCAUGAGAGCAAUAACAUCCUUAGUACUUCCCAAACCACCUUUCUCCAAAUUCAUGGAUUCUUCUUCCAACGUCAUCAAUGGACGAUCUCAGAGGCUCUUGGCCUUGGCACAACACCUUCGUUUGUACAAGCCACCACCACCUUUCCCUGAAGAUAUUGUGGAGCAGAGAAUCGAAGAAAGUGGUGGCAAGGUUGUUUCCCAAGUGGGUUUUCAAGAAUCAGCCACCCCAAUUGCACACAACCCAGAAAAAUUCAGACCCAAUAAAGCUGCUGUGUUGAUCUGCCUCUUUGAAGAUGAUGCUGGCGAUCUGCGAGUUAUACUCACUAAGCGCUCUUCCACGCUUUCUACUCACUCGGGUGAAGUGGCAUUGCCUGGUGGGAAAGAGGAGGAGGGGGAUAAGGAUGAUGGGGACACUGCAAAAAGGGAGGCAAAUGAGGAAAUUGGAUUGGACCCAGAACUUGUCAAUGUUGUCACUGUUCUUGAACCAUUCUUGUCUAAGCAUCUCCUUAGAGUAGUUCCUGUCAUUGGCAUUCUUCAUGACAAGAAAGCAUUCAAACCUGUUCUGAGCCCUGCAGAAGUGGAAGCAGUGUUUGAUGCACCUUUGGAAAUGUUUCUCAAGGAUGAAAAUCGGAGGCAGGAGGAGAGGGAGUGGAUGGGAGAGAAGUAUUUGAUACAUUUCUUCGAUUAUGAAAUCGAGCGUAAAAAAUACCUCAUAUGGGGUUUAACUGCUGGGAUCUUGAUUAGGGCUGCAUCAGUUGUGUACCAACGGCCACCAGCUUUCAUAGAGCAGAAUCCUAAAUACAAGGUUCCACAGGUUGUAACCAAGGAUAGUGUAAUGCGUUGAGUUAAAUAUUUUUUGUAUUUUUUCCUUAAUAUAUGUUCUUAAUCCUACAAUAUUAGUCAUCACAACUAUAAAGUUAUAGAAUCCCAAGUGUUUAUAUUUACUGAAAGAAAUUAAAAGGGCACUAUGCCAUCACUUGGAAUUCAUAUUCGUGCUUACCCAAUGCUAUCAUGAAGUUGAGGAGUUGCGGACAGUAAAUCACUUCAGAAGGAGUAUCAACAAUUCUUAGAAACAUUUGCUGACUAGUAACUUGUUUUACCUUCUUCUUCAGUGGGUGUUUGGCACUGCAUUACCACACCAUGUUGAGGUCAAAAAACCAUGUCAAAGUGGACGCUCCCCCUUAUAGCUUGAUGUGUUUUGGAGCGUGUGGACAAUUCAUUUCCAAACACACUCGUAAAGCAUUUGAAACUUGAGUGAGUAACUCUAGGUUAUAAAGGAAGUGCUUUGCCAAAAGGAGCACUCUUGAAUUAUUUGCCCAACAUCAAAUUUGUUACUUAGGAAUUUAGGGUUGUCUAUACUAUUACUCUAUGUAUAUGGUGCAAAUAAUAAGUUGAUUUCAUGUAAACUUAUAAAUUGGAUGGAGGAAUAGAUGUAUACAAUGGAAUAAGAUGAAAUCAUCAUUAAAUUUCA